UAAAUUGCAUCGCUGAAUCCUUAAAAUCCUUUUAAGAAGCGGGGGAACCAAUUUUUUGGGGUGAAUCAUAUUGAAGGGCUUAUCCUUGGCCCUAACCCGACAGCUAACCUCGUAAGCGCAUAAGGUAGUCAUA
rnacentral:sRNA from 2 species